rnacentral:lncRNA from 1 species
GAGGGUGGCAAAGCUUCGGGCCGGUGCCCAGGCCACUGUGGCCAUGAGGGGUCCAGAGCAGCCUGGAUGGGGCCAAGGUGGCAGCGGGACAUGAYGCCRYAUCGGUGGGAUUAACMRUGUUUUCUUCCCCAGGSUUCCYRUGCACUGAUGUUCUUCAACCAGCUYCAAAGCCUUUCAGGAAAAAACAYGAAGGUGACAGCAACAGAAAAUACUCUGAAUUGUGAUUUUUUGGAAAAGAACAACUCUUAAGGCCACCUUAAGUCUUGUGAAAACACAGAUGCGCAAGGACGACGGGUGCAGAUUCCUGKUUUUUCUCCUGCUGCCUGCACACGCGUUGGGCGCGUGCAGCUUCCCAACCGCUGCAGCUGACCCCAUCUCAGCACCUCCCUGAAUGGCAUCAGCCCCCAGUGAGCCCCCGGGGCUGCUUUUGCCCCGAACAGAAGAAAAUGCAAUCAAACCCGUUAACAUUGGCCUCAUCCCCUGGUUAAGGCAGGAGCCGGMGCCAUGGGGGACCUGAGACAGGCGUUUGCAAUGCAACAGCAGCACCGACCGUGGGAAAAGGAGCAAAGAAACGYGACUGGGACCAUUAGUGGGUCAGGAGCACCCGUGUCCUCCUGCCCACCAAGCACGGCGACAGCCCAGCUGGACCACGUGCAUUUUACGGGAAUUUUCCCCAGCACCGUUUAAGUUACCAGCAUGCCCAUAGUCAACGGGUACCAGGGAUGGACGGGAAAGAAAGUCCCAGGGAAAUACCUCGUUUUCUAGCCCAACCUCGCCAUGCUGGUUUGGGGCCUGCACCCUCAAGCACAACCGCGGCCUCAUGGAGAAGAGGAGAUGCUCUGCAAGGUGCAUCUUUUCUUCAGGUGCCGCCGAGGGGGUCAUGGGGCCUUUUCUGCAAUCCCAUGCUGUCCCAGCCCAGGGAGAGUUGGCCAAUGGGAUGUCCACCCACGAUGCUGCAGCCCACACGACAGACGCCUGAAGGUCCUUAACAGCACAGCACAUCACCAGCACGUCUGACUGCACCACGCGCAAGAGCAAGACAUCUGGACGUGCCGUGCAGUAAACAAGACGUGGGCAAGUCGCACCCCUCCGGAUCAUCCAUUGUUCAAAAUGAAAGCUCGCCGCAGAAAUUCGGAGAAGGGGGAGAAGGGGAAGGACUCUUAUUAUGCUUGGAAACUAUUUAAAUAUGUCAAUAUUAAAGGAGCGUAAUUACCACUCAAGCAAUUCCAGCAAACAAGUCAGUAGCGGUGCCUACUUUACGGGAAGUGCAUUUCCUCUUGGCAAUGCUCUGGGCAGGAAUUAUUCAAUACGUGCUCUCCUGCUCCGCUCCCC